rnacentral:rRNA from 1 species
UACGUAGGGGGCAAGCGUUGUCCGGAAUCAUUGGGCGUAAAGCGCGUGUAGGCGGCCAGAAAAGUCCGCUGUGAAAACUCGAGGCUCAACUUCGAGCUGUCGGUGGAAACUUUCUGGCUAGAGUCCGGAAGAGGAGAAUGGAAUUCCUGGUGUAGCGGUGAAAUGCGCAGAUAUCAGGAGGAACACCGAUGGCGAAGGCAGGUCUCUGGGCCAUAACUGACGCUGAGAAGCGAAAGCAUGGGGAGCGAACAGG